rnacentral:rRNA from 1 species
GAAUGCUGACAUAAGUAACGAUAAAGCGGGUGAAAAGCCCGCUCGCCGGAAGACCAAGGGUUCCUGUCCAACGUUAAUCGGGGCAGGGUGAGUCGACCCCUAAGGCGAGGCCGAAAGGCGUAGUCGAUGGGAAACGGGUUAAUAUUCCCGUACUUGGUGUUACUGCGAAGGGGGGACGGAGAAGGCUAUGUUGGCCGGGCGACGGUUGUCCCGGUUUAAGCGUGUAGGUGUGUGUUCCAGGUAAAUCCGGUUCACUUUAACACUGAGGCGUGACGACGAGGCACUACGGUGCUGAAGCAACAAAUGCCCUGCUUCCAGGAAAAGCCUCUAAGCAUCAGGUAACAUCAAAUCGUACCCCAAACCGACACAGGUGGUCAGGUAGAGAAUACCAAGGCGCUUGAGAGAACUCGGGUGAAGGAACUAGGCAAAAUGGUGCCGUAACUUCGGGAGAAGGCACGCUGACACGUAGGUGAAGUGAUUUACUCAUGGAGCUGAAGUCAGUCGAAGAUACCAGCUGGCUGCAACUGUUUAUUAAAAACACAGCACUGUGCAAACACGAAAGUGGACGUAUACGGUGUGACGCCUGCCCGGUGCCGGAAGGUUAAUUGAUGGGGUCAGCGCAAGCGAAGC